rnacentral:rRNA from 1 species
UACUUCCAUAAUUUUUUAAUACUAUUAUUUACAAUGAACCCUUUAUUUUUACUGAAUAUUUCUAUAAAGUUAUAGAACCUUUUAUGUUGAAACUAGUAACAAGAAGUUAAACUUCUCCUCAAUAUAAGUAUAAGUCGACUAGGAUAAACCAUCGACAAUUAACGCUUAAAUUAAAUGUAUUAACUCCACAAGAAAAACUUACAUUACCCCACGUUAAUCUUACACCAGAACAUUUAAGGAAAGAUUUAAAAAAAAGGAAGGAACUCGGCAAACAUUAACCCCGCCUGUUUACCAAAAACAUCGCCUUCUGAUAUAUUAUAGAAGGUCCAGCCUGCCCAGUGAAUUAAUUUAACGGCCGCGGUAUCCUAACCGUGCGAAGGUAGCGUAAUCACUUGUUCUUUAAAUGAGGACUAGUAUGAAUGGCACCACGAAGGUUAUACUGUCUCCCUUUUUUGAUCAGUUAAACUAAUCUUCACGUGAAGAAGCGUGAAUAAACAUAUAAGACGAGAAGACCCUAUGGAGCUUAAAAUUACACAACAAUUGUUAAAAAAAUCCUAAAUUUUAUAAAUAAUUUUUUACUAAACACCAUGAUUGCUAAUUUUUGGUUGGGGUGACCGCGGAGUAAAAAUUAACCUCCACAAUGAAAGAAAUCAAUAUUCUAAACUAAGAGCUACAACUCAAAGUAUUAAUAUUUUAACAUUCUUUGAUCCAAUAUUUGAUCAACGAACAAAGUUACCCUAGGGAUAACAGCGCAAUCUACUUUGAGAGCUCCUAUCGACAAGUAGGUUUACGACCUCGAUGUUGGAUCAGGGUAUCCUAGUGGUGCAGCCGCUACUAAU